GACAAUUGUUGGAUUGAAGUAUGAAAUGUAAGGUUAUAUGUAUUAGCACGAAAUGUUCCUAAUAUCCUACUAAAUAAUUCGAAUAAAGUUGUUCAAGAUUUGUUUCCUUUCAUUACGUAUUUGCUGAAUAAAAGUUUGAGGUAAUUGGCUUUGAACCUUUAUUUCUAAAGAUAUAUUAAGUACAUAUAACCUUACAUGUAUAACCUUCACACUUCAAUCCAACAAUUGUCAAAUUUUUUUAUUUUACUUUAAACAAUAUGUUUCUUCAUGUGUUUGCAAUCUUACAGCAAAGGUAGAAAAGUAGAACUGGUAAAAAUAACAGAGGCAAUCAUAUCAAGAGCAAAAAUGUCAAAUGUAGAAUAUUUCAGUAAAUUGUAUUCGUGUCUUUUGGCACACAUUUGGAACCGAACCCAUCAAACUAUGGAUAGGGCAAGGAACAUUAUUGUCUUCAACGAUAGACUGAACUAAGAAAUCAUGUUUCCUUAGGCAAAUAUAACAUGGGUUAAAUUAGACCAUGCUGACCAGUUAAUUAAUUUAGUGGCUUACCAGAAGCUAUGGGAAGUGAAAUACAAGGACACAAACUUACAAUGGUACCACUAAGAAUUUGGGGUAGAAUAAUAUCCCUUGUGAUGAAAGAUGAACUAGAAGAUGAUACGCCAUUAUUAAGUACUCUCAUUCAAGUAAAUAAUAAUAAACACACUAAUCAAUUAGAAAGCUCGUGUAUUAUUUACAAAAUAAAUAUCUCAGUUCUUGACAUA